rnacentral:rRNA from 1 species
UCCAGACUCCUACGGGAGGCAGCAGUGAGGAAUAUUGGUCAAUGGCCGAGAGGCUGAACCAGCCAAGUCGCGUGAGGGAAGAAUGUCCUAUGGAUUGUAAACCUCUUUUGUCAGGGAGCAAAGUCACCCACGUGUGGGUGUUGGAGAGUACCUGAAGAAAAAGCAUCGGCUAACUCCGUGCCAGCAGCCGCGGUAAUACGGAGGAUGCGAGCGUUAUCCGGAUUUAUUGGGUUUAAAGGGUGCGUAGGCGGAUUUUUAAGUCAGCGGUAAAAUGUCCGGGCUCAACCCGGGCCGGCCGUUGAAACUGGGGAUCUUGAGUGGGCGAGAAGUAUGCGGAAUGCGUGGUGUAGCGGUGAAAUGCAUAGAUAUCACGCAGAACUCCGAUUGCGAAGGCAGCAUACCGGCGCCCAACUGACGCUCAGGCACGAAAGCGUGGGUAUCGAACAGGAUUAGAUACCCCGGUA